GAUGAACGCUGGCGGCGUGCCUAAUACAUGCCAGUCGAGCGAACAGAUGAGGAGCUUGCUCCUCUGACGUUAGCGGCGGACGGGUGAGUAACACGUGGAUAACCUACCUAUAAGACUGGGAUAACUACGGGAAACCGGAGCUAAUACCGGAUAAUAUAUUGAACCGCAUGGUUCAAUAGUGAAAGACGGUUUUGCUGUCACUUAUAGAUGGAUCCGCGCCGCAUUAGCUAGUUGGUAAGGUAACGGCUUACCAAGGCAACGAUGCGUAGCCGACCUGAGAGGGUGAUCGGCCACACUGGAACUGAGACACGGUCCAGACUCCUACGGGAGGCAGCAGUAGGGAAUCUUCCGCAACGGGCGAAAGCCUGACGGAGCAACGCCGCGUGAGUGAUGAAGGUCUUCGGAUCGUAAAACUCUGUUAUUAGGGAAGAACAAAUGUGUAAGUAACUAUGCACGUCUUGACGGUACCUAAUCAGAAAGCCACGGCUAACUACGUG
rnacentral:rRNA from 1 species